rnacentral:rRNA from 1 species
AGUGAACGCCGGCGGUAGGCCUAACACAUGCAAGUCGAACGGCAGCACAGAGGAGCUUGCUCCUUGGGUGGCGAGUGGCGGACGGGUGAGGAAUACAUCGGAAUCUACUCUGUCGUGGGGGAUAACGUAGGGAAACUUACGCUAAUACCGCAUACGACCUACGGGUGAAAGCAGGGGACCUUCGGGCCUUGCGCGAUUGAAUGAGCCGAUGUCGGAUUAGCUAGUUGGCGGGGUAAAGGCCCACCAAGGCGGCGAUCCGUAGCUGGUCUGAGAGGAUGAUCAGCCACACUGGAACUGAGACACGGUCCAGACUCCUACGGGAGGCAGCAGUGGGGAAUAUUGGACAAUGGGCGCAAGCCUGAUCCAGCCAUACCGCGUGGGUGAAGAAGGCCUUCGGGUUGUAAAGCCCUUUUGUUGGGAAAGAAAUCCAGCUGGCUAAUACCCGGUUGGGAUGACGGUACCCAAAGAAUAAGCACCGGCUAACUUCGUGCCAGCCGCCGCGGUAA